CCCGCUGCAUCUCGCGGGAUCUCGUGAGUACGGCCGGGUCAGGUGCAGUCAUGGAGGCAGAGGAGGCGGAUGUGGAUGUGGAAGGGGAUGUGCUGGCCGCUGCACAGCCGGGAAAUGAUGAAAACACAGCAUCAGUCUUUCAAGAUCACUAUCUUGAUUCAACAUGGGGAAGGGAGAAUGGCUGUCUUCCGUGGACUCUGGAUAGCACCAUCAGUGACGAGAACAGAGCUGUCAUUGAGAAAAUGCUGUUGGAAGAAGAGUAUUAUUUGUCUAAUAAAUCACUUCCAGGAAAAUUCUGGAUUAAUCAAAAGGACGAUGAUAAAAAACACACCAACAGGGUGCAUUCUCCUACAAAACCAGCCAGUUAUUCAGUAAAGUGGACAGUAGAAGAAAAAGAACUCUUUAAACAAGGACUGGCUAAAUUUGGCCGAAGGUGGACCAAAAUCGCAACACUAGUUCAGAGUCGCACAGUUUUACAAGUGAAGACUUACGCCAGACAGUACUUCAAAAAUCAGGUAAAGUGGGGUGUGGAGAAAGGAACGCCAGCUCAGAAGAGCAGCAGUGAUCUUCAGGUGAAAUCCAAAGACGAGAGGACGAAGGGGCGGGCAGCAUCGUGUUUGAGGGGGCGUGCUGAUCCUAACUUGAAUGCUGUAAAAAUUGAAAAGUUAUCUGAUGAUGAAGACGUAGACAUCACAGAUGAACUGGAUGAGCUGACUUCUCAGACACCAGAAAAGAAUUCUGGCAGUCAUCUUACUUUAGACAUUCCUAAUAGUAAAAUUUAUGAAGCCGACCAUGGAGAAUUCAUAUGCUCAGAAGGCCCCUUAGCUAAAUCUUCCCGGGAGUAUCUUCAGAACGUGAAACCAAGUGAAGCAGAAGCAUGUUCAAGCUCAGAAAUUACAUCGUGGGCUAUAAGACAGACCAGUAAUGGCAAAAACUCAGUUGAAUUAAGUGAGAAGAACAAUAGGCUGGCUCAAGGCUACGAUGUGCAAGAUGGGGAAGAAGUAACAGGUGAAGCCAAGCCCUCACCCUCUCCAGAGUCCUGCGAGAGUCGGCAGGUAGAGGACAGCCAUGAGGGAGAAGAGCUUAAGCCACCAGAGCACGAAGUGGAAAUCGAUAGGAAUGUCAUUCAAGAAGAAGAAAAGCAAGCAAUUCCUGAGUUUUUUGAGGGGCGCCAAACUAAAACACCAGAACGCUAUUUGAAAAUUAGAAACUACAUUUUGGAUCAGUGGGAAAUAUGCAAACCGAAAUACUUAAAUAAGACCUCAGUACGUCCUGGCCUGAAGAACUGUGGGGAUGUUAAUUGUAUUGGACGGAUUCAUACAUACCUCGAGUUGAUAGGAGCAAUCAAUUUUGGAUGUGAGCAGGCAAUAUAUAACAGGCCACAGCCGGUCGAUAGAGUACGAGUGAGUGACAGGACAGAUGCAGAAGCGGCCUACCAGCUUGCCUGGCGCCUGCAGUCUAUGCGUACAAGAAGACGUAGGGUCCGAGACCCAUGGGGAAAUUGGUGUGAUGCAAAAGACUUAGAAGGGCAAACAUUUGAGCAUCUCUCUGCAGAAGAGUUGGCAAAAAGAAGAGAAGAGGAAAAGUGCAAACCUGUUAAGUCUUCAAAAGUUUCAAAACUACCAAAAAGCUCACUUGAUCCCUUCCAACUGAUACCUUGUAAUUUUUUCAGUGAAGAAAAGCAGGAGCCAUUUCAGGUGAAAGUAGCUUCAGAGGCACUAUUAAUAAUGGAUUUGCAUGCUCACGUGUCUAUGGCGGAGGUGAUUGGGCUGUUAGGAGGAAGAUACUCAGAGGCUGAGAAGACCCUUGAAGUCUGUGCAGCAGAACCAUGUAACAGUCUGAGCACAGGACUACAAUGCGAGAUGGAUCCUGUGUCACAAACACAGGCUUCAGAAACCUUGGCUCUUAGAGGCUACAGUGUUAUUGGGUGGUACCAUUCGCAUCCUGCCUUUGAUCCGAAUCCAUCUUUACGAGAUAUUGACACACAAGCCAAAUACCAGAGUUACUUCUCCAGAGGAGGAGCAAAGUUCAUUGGGAUGAUUGUUAGUCCAUAUAAUCGAAGUAACUCUUUACCAUACUCCCAGAUUACCUGCUUGGUUAUAAGUGAAGAAGUUAGCCCUGAUGGUGCCUAUCGUUUACCCUACAAAUUUGAAGUCCAGCAGAUGUUAGACGAACCUCAGUGGGAAUCAGUGUUUGAAAAGACAAGAUGGAUAAUUGAGAAGUACAGGCUUUCCCAUAGCAGUGUCCCCAUGGAUAGAAUCUUUCGCCGGGAUUCUGACCUAACUUGUUUGCAGAAACUUUUGGAGUGUCUAAGGAAAACACUAAGCAAAGUAGCCAAUUGCUUCAUCGCUGAGGAAUUCUUGACCCAAAUAGAAAAUUUGUUCCUUUCCAAUUACAAAAGCAAGGAAGACAAUGGACUGGCUGAAGAGAGCAGAACAGCGGAGUUGUUCUUGUAAUAUUUUAAAAGUAUAGCCAAAGAACAAGGCAGCACUGGAUGGAGUAGCCUCACAGUCUGAGGUGGCCUGAAUCUGAUUUGGACAAUUUAAAGAAAUGGAGUUUGUUUUCUCUAGGCCAAGAUGGCCCCUAUGCUGGCCUUGCCAACCUCAGCCUCCUGAAAAUAGUUGGAGCAAAGGCCUGAAAGAAGCACAGAUUUGUCUGGACUCAAGGAGACGUGUAACACAGAAGUUGACGAAGCUCCUAGAGAAAACCCCAUCCCAACAGUGUGUGCAGAAGUGGAGGACCAGAGACACCUGAGACCUUCAUCCCAAGUUCUGCCUCUCUGAAGGACACAACUGUAAAAUAAUGAGCUUAAAAUUUGUGUCUUGUUCUGCCUUGGGUAAGGAAAAUUAAUAAUAGUACGUCUCCUCUGUUAGACUUGGUGUUCUUCAGAAACAGUACUCCAGAAAGCAAAUCAGGCCCUCGGUUAACCUUGCAUUCUUCCCCAGUCCUGUGAGAUGCCCUGGAGCUCCCAUCGCUAGAGUUGGGGUGACCCUGUGCUCACAGCUCAUGAGCUUUUUAGACCCCAAGUACUUUUGCCCACUUGGACCCCUUCUGUAUAAAAUUUAAAUUUAUAUUUUAUUAUUGUGUUUGUAUAAAAUGACAGUAUUCAUAUUUUGAAUUAAAAUAGUCCUUUAUCUAAAACUUAUAUUAUUUUUACUAAAAAAUUAAGUAAAAUUUUGGUUACAUGCCCUGGGAGUCUGAGACGCUGUGCCUAAUGGAUAGUUUGCCCUGUCUGUAUUCAGAGGUCUCGGGGAAAAUGCAGUUAAUGUUCCCUGUCCCUUCCCGCCACCUCUAGGUUAUCUUUGUCACUCUGCCCAGUAGCGCUUUGUUCUUUCCCAUCCUAGCCAGAACUCGGGGCAUUGCUCACUACCAUUCAGUCCUGGGAGAGAGACAGAGACGGGGGCUGUGGUGCGGAGACAGAUAGGUAGACAUUUUUAUCCUGGUUUCUACUUUCACAGCUUGUGCCAUUCUUGACAGGGUGAGGCUCCUUCUUUCUUCCCUUUGAUCUCAAGCCCUUUUAUCCAUCUGUCCUCACAGCUCCUGGGGAUAAGGUCUGUGUAUCUCUUGCUGAACGUGAUACACAGACCCACUCAGAUUUCCCCGCAGUUGUUUCUCCACAGAGCGCUCCUGCUCCCAGACGGGGGUUGGUGAGGGCUGUGACGUGCAAAACACAAGCACCUUCAGACUCUUCUGUUCUCAGGACAAAGAAGAUGGCAGCCUCAGCAUGCCAGCCCGAGCUGUCCUGCUUUUUGGGUUACCUUUCCCCAUAUGUCUCGCUGGGUUUGAGUGCAAUGGAGAAGCCGAUAGAACCAUUUUGCCCAAGAGUGCUGCCCCGUUCUGUGCCAGCAGAAGCCACCUAAUUGCCCUCCUGCCUGUAUGACAUGCCCCGUCAUCAGCAGGCAUCCCAUGUGGAUUUCCUAUCCGUAGUAGAGCUGGCCACCCAGUUUUUCUUCUCUCACCUCUACCACCAAGAUACUUAAUCUGGUGUCACAUGGCAUGAAGGCAGAAUACCUUCACGGAAGCACAAAGAAAAGCACACAUUUUGAUAAACAUACUCUAUCAGCAUUAACAGAUUUAAUAAAUUUGAUCGGUAUCUCCACUUUCCUAUUCUUUAAUAACGCUCUUACAACUUAAUAUAUGUUUUAAUAUGCCCAGAAAAAUCACUGUUAGGAGAAUAAUGUAUUGUACUUAGGUUAUUAUUUCCUGACCUUUCCUGAAGAGGAUUUCUGUGUGCUUUCAUUAACAGGAAUUUCACUUUCUGGUAUUUCUUCUAAGCUACCUCAUUCCCUUAUUGCCCCCACUAAAUCACAAGCAAAUAAAAAUAUCCAAGAGGAACUUAAAGGAUUCUAAAUGAAACUAAACUUUAAAGGUGAAAUUAACCCACAACACCUGGGUGGCUUUUAUUUUCUCCUUCGGUGUUUCUGUCAUAUACUCAUGAGUCCCAGGGAAAAUGCCUGGUUUGUUUUCUCUGAGGUUUCCUAGUAGCUUUCUAGGAAUUCCUUAAAUGUUCUCAUCAUUCAUAUUCCUGUUUCAUAUAUUAUAAAAUCGAGCCCUGUGUGGCAGCACACACCUUUAAUCCCAGAACUCAGAAGUAGAGACAGACCUCUGAGUUUGAGGUCAGCCUGGUCUACAUGAUGAAUUCCAGGAACUACAAUAGGACUACAGAGUAAGAGCCUAUCUUUAAAACAAAACAAGACAAAGAAAAAAACUGUCUGCUUUAGCACGUGAAUUCUGAAAUUGUAGUUGGAUUUUAGCAUGGUGUAUGCAGCUGAGUCAUUUGCCUUUACGUGUGUACAGUGGAGUUGACUUGCACAGUUGUGUUUUGGGUAAGAUACUGCAUGACAGUUUAUGACCUUGCUGUUUUCCCACAAUAUUGGCAGUUUUGGGGAGUUUUUCAUCACUUAGCAUUUUACAGCAUUCUACAACAAUGUAACAAUUUAAAACUUUUGUACAUUUAGAUGUUAUGCUACAUUGUAUAUAUCUACAUUAAGAAUAUUGUAAAUAUCAGUGUUUGUACAAUAAUGGAAGAUUUUCCCUAAAAUAUAAACUCAUCUUUCCAUGUUUACUUGUGACAUAUUAAAAUACCCAAUUUUAAGCUUUGCGAAAUUAUCUUACAAUGAAAGCUAAGGAGAAACGUGCUGCCAAGUCUAUGUAAGUAAAAAUUUGAAAAUAAAACAGGUGGUUUUUGGUGUCUUUGUAAA